UUGCAUCCACUGAUAGACCAGAAGCAGACAUUGUUGGCUUCUUGGUUUGCGCAAAGAUGCUAAACUGAGCCUUCCUCGUGCUUUCUGACUGCUGAAUAUCAUAGCAGCACAGAUAAGAAUGUGGAAAACAAUU
ensembl:snoRNA